GACGAACGCUGGCGGCGUGCUUAACACAUGCAAGUCGAACGGAAAGGCCCUGCUUUUGUGGGGUGCUCGAGUGGCGAACGGGUGAGUAACACGUGAGUAACCUGCCCUUGACUUUGGGAUAACUUCAGGAAACUGGGGCUAAUACCGGAUAGGAGCUCCUGCUGCAUGGUGGGGGUUGGAAAGUUUCGGCGGUUGGGGAUGGACUCGCGGCUUAUCAGCUUGUUGGUGGGGUAGUGGCUUACCAAGGCUUUGACGGGUAGCCGGCCUGAGAGGGUGACCGGCCACAUUGGGACUGAGGUACGGCCCAGACUCCUACGGGAGGCAGCAGUAGGGAAUAUUGCACAAUGGGCGGAAGCCUGAUGCAGCAACGCCGCGUGCGGGAUGACGGCCUUCGGGUUGUAAACCGCUUUCGCCUGUGACGAAGCGUGAGUGACGGUAAUGGGUAAAGAAGCACCGGCUAACUACGUG
rnacentral:rRNA from 1 species